rnacentral:tRNA from 1 species
UUUAGGGUGGCAGAGUCAGGUAAUUGCAUGGGGCCUAAGACCCCUACACCAGAAGUUCAAAUCUUCUUCCUAAAA